CAGCCUGGGGGACAGAGCGAGACUCCGUCUCAAAAAAAAAAAAAGUUAUUGUUUUUAUAUUGUUAUUGUCCCUGGGAAUCUUUGCUAUCGGUGUACUGUGUACUUCCUGCCUACCUCUGAGUUUGUAAAGUAGGUAAAAGAGCAGAUGUGAUUGCUAAGAAUAUAGCAUUGACCUCUAUGUAAAAUUUAUAGGUUCUCACACAGAGUGCUGAGGCUUUUGAUCAGCAUCUUUGAAAGUAUUGCUUGUAUACAUUUCAAGUAAAAGAUCAUUCUAAUUAUUUCAUAGUCAUACUUUACAUGAAAGAGCUUUGUAAAUAAUUGGAAAAUCUUUAACAAGCUUUGAUUAAUAAUGCUGGCUUUAAUUUUAACUUCAUAUUAUUGUUUUCCAAAUGAUUUCCAUAAUAGAGACCAUGGUGGAUCUAAGCAUGAGAUUUUAAGUUCCUGCCUUUCAAAGGUGUGGCUAAAAACAAGGAGGAUAGAAAACACUGUGUGCUGUCAUGCCAAGCUCUCUGUGUAGGGACUUUAUCUUCACCAUUGCAUUUCAUCCUCAAAACAGCCCUGCAAGGUAAGUAUCUGUAUUUUAUAGAUGGGAAAAACUAAGAUUCAGAAAGUUUACAUAACUACAAAUCUGGUAAGAACUAGAGCCGAGAUCCAUUUCCUGCUCUGUCUUUUCUCACAGUUGUUGCUACAAGGCCACUGAGCUGACUCACCACCCCGGGAGUCAGUGAAGGCUUCCCCGAGGAAGCAGUGUUUGAGCUGAGCCUUGAAACAGAAGUAAGAAGACUCCAGGAGAAGGCUGCAGUAGAGGCUAGAGCUAUUUUUCCUGGCAACAGACCCAGAGAGAAGCUCAACACUUGGAGUAUGAAAGGAGAGUUGGAAAGAAAUCAACUGUGGAAUAACUGCUUCUGAAGACUGAAGUCCAAGAUCAAGGUGCCAGCAGAAUUGGUGUCUGCCUAUGGACCACUGGAAGGCCCGGCCAGGGGUGUGGUCAUCAGGACUUCCCAAAAGCACAUCUCCUUCCUCUGUGGCUUGACUGUGUGCCUCUCCUCUCGAGCUGCAACUGUACCAUGAGUCUCCCUUCCAGAUCAAAAGGAAGAUCCCGACCGCAGUCCUUUGGAAUAAGAUUUGCUAGUAUUCAAUGUUCUUUCUUGUGUCUCAACUCAUAUCCAUAUUUUCUUCUCAGAAUUCCAUAGGUUUAGCCCUUUGGGGGUUUUUACUUUUUUCUUCUUAUUUUUUAUACUGCCUGUUCCUACUUUAUGCUGUGUUUUACCCAUAUUUAUGUCAUUUUAAUCAGUUCCAUAAGACUGUGUUUGAACUCCCCACCUCCACUUGCUUUUGUUUUGGGUGAUGACUGUGCUGUCCACCUCUGCCACUUGUUUCAGGCCCUACUACUUUUUCCCUCCAAUGUUCCUUCUUUUGUGUCUGCCAUCUAUUAUUGCUGAAUACGUUAUUGUCGUUUUUGUCUUCUUAUUUUAUUUUCUCCUCUUCUUCCUUCAGUGGAUGUCUUGAGAUGUUCUUGCUUCUUAUGUUCCAUGUUUGCUGACAUAGGGCAAAACUAAGAAUCUGCGACAAGACAAGCUGCUUUUUCCUCUAUCAAAGCUGCCUUCAUCGGGCAGCUGUCCUUCAUUCUCAAUUACUUUAUCUACUCUUUUUUGCCUUUUUCACAUCCAACCUGUAAUCUAUAUUUUCCUUUCUUCAGCUAUAUCUUAAACUGUUAAAAUAGAGCCUGACAUGUAGUACACAUUCAGUAAAUAUCUGUUGAAUAAAAGAAAACAAUAAAUGAAUGAAUGGUUGUUUGGUAA
rnacentral:lncRNA from 1 species